UACGUAGGAGGCGAGCGUUGUCCGGAGUUACUGGGCGUAAAGGGUGCGUAGGCGGCUGCGCGCGUGGAGGGUGAAAUCUCUCGGCUUACCCGGGAGGGGGCUUUCCAGACGGCGUGGCUUGAGGGACGGAGAGGGGCGUGGAAUUCCGGGUGGAGCGGUGAAAUGCGUAGAGAUCCGGAGGAACACCGACGGCGUAGGCAGCGCCCUGGCCGUUUCCUGACGCUGAAGCACGAAAGCUGGGGGAGCAAACAGGAUUAGAUACCCUGGUAGUCCCAGCCCUAAACGAUGUCCACCGGGUGCCGGGGGUAUCGACCCCCUCGGUGCCGAAGCUAACGUGAUGAGUGGACCGCCUGGGGAGUACGGCCGCAAGGUUGAA
rnacentral:rRNA from 1 species